GCACCUGUAGCUCAAUUGGAUAGAGCACCUGACUUCGGAUCAGGGCGCUGGGGGUUCGAGUCCUCUCAGGUGCA
rnacentral:tRNA from 1 species